rnacentral:rRNA from 1 species
UAUGGUAGUGGCGACGGUGAGUACGCGUGGUACUGCCAUACAGGGGAUAACACUUAGAAUAGGUGCUAAUACCGCAUAACAACAGAAGCGCAUGCUUUUUGUUUGAAAACCAAGGUGGUAUGGGAUGGACCCGCGUCUGAUUAGCUGGUUGGCGGGGUAAAGGCCCACCAAGGCGACGAUCAGUAGCCGGCCUGAGAGGGUGGACGGCCACAUUGGGACUGAGACACGGCCCAAACUCCUACGGAAGGCAGCAG